CAGCUGUGACCGAUCAGCCGGUGACGAGGACGUGCAGUGUCUGGCAAAGUGUCUGCCCAUAAAUUGGUGAAAGUGGCUGCAGCUCUUUGUGUACUUUGUCUGCUGGGAGGUGUUGUCAUUGGUGUUUGGUUUAUAGUAUAAAUCCUGUUAAGGCCAAACUCAGCACAGAGCCCUGUGGGCGUAGGAGACACUAAAGAUACGUCUUUCUGCAAUGUAACGGAGGACAUCUCUUUGGCAGACCCCAGAAAGGGUAUUUGUCUCUUUAUUCGCACAUACUGUGAAAACAACAGAGCCAGCAGGUAAACAGCGCAGUGGACAUUCAUCCAAACUCACUGGCACUGUAAACAAAGUGACAUAAACAACAGAGGCAAACUAAAGAAGGAGAAAGUAGA